rnacentral:misc_RNA from 1 species
AAGUCGUAACAAGGUUUCCGUAGGUGAACCUGCGGAAGGAUCAUUAAAAAAGAUUGCCAACCACCACAUUGUGCACUGUUAUAAACUCAUGGUGAGCGCUGGGCCAAGUGCUCUGUGGAUGUCGGCAGCUGGCAUUGCAUGACGACCGGGCAUUUGCCUGGCCGCUGUGGCCGGCUGUGUGGCAUGCGCGUGCGUGGACCUGACUCACCGCAUUAUUUUACCAAGUUGAUUAAGUAUGUACUGAAUUUGCAAUGAAACAGAAGACAACUUUUAGCAACGGAUCUCUAGGCUCUU